AUUUAGUCUAUUUAUUCCAGUAUUUGGUAAAUAUUUAGGAAAUUAAGACAGGUGAGCAAGUUACAUUGUAUUUAAUUAAUAUGGCUUUACAAAAAUGAUGAAGCAGUUUCAGCUGUGAAGGCAAAAUUAAAUGGAGGAGAAAUAGAGGACACAGCAGCAACAUCAGCUACUGGUCAAGUGAAACGUGGUAGAGGAAAAAAAAAAGAAGAGUAAAAGUAAAAAUAAACCAAGAAAAAAGCAAAAGUGGCAAGUUGGUGAUCUAUGUAGGGCAGUAUAUUCAGAAGACGAUUUUGUUUAUAAUGCUAAAAUAAUCUCUAUAGAUACCAGUAAUAAUACAUGUGUAGUACAAUAUAUAGACUAUGGUAACGAAGAAGAACAAAAUCUAGCUGAUCUUCAACGACCCAGCUCAAACUCAUUCAAUGAUAAACUCACGUCUGCUAGUGAGACUGAAAGUGUUGGUUAUGAAAGACAUUCUAAACAUAAUUAUUCUGAUGGACCAGAUUUAGGAGCAGCUAAUCAAAACUCCUGGAACUAUCCUGGUUUUCAUCCUCCACCUCCACCAUUUCCAGGAAUGAUGCCACCACCAUUUCCACCUGGUUCUCAUAUGCCCAGUUAUAGAGCAUCUCAUUCACCAAAUACCUUCAUUGCCACCACCUCCACCAUUUUUAGAUGAAGAUGUAGAUGACGAUAAUGAAGCUUUAUAUAGUAUGUUAAUAUCUUGGUAUAUGAAUGGUUAUCACACAGGAUACUAUCAGGGUUUAAAACAAGGUCGAAGUCAAAGUUUGGGUAGAGUGAGUUCUAGAAGUGGUGUUAGAUAGUAUAAACCUAGUACAGGUAUUGAAUUCUUUGGAACGUGACAGGAAUUGCAUUGAACUACAUACUAAGAUCUACAUAGGAAAUCACAAUAUAGAAAAAGACAAAGUGCCAUGAAGGAGAUUCUAAAUCUUGUUGUGGUUCUUGGAAAGUAAAGAACAUUUGUGGAAUGUUUUUAAAAAUUGAAAGAAUCUUAAACAUUGUUUUUAUUGUGUGUGUAGAAUAAAUUUGAACAGAAAUUUUGUUCAAGUGUUACAUAGGGCUAGAAAUUUGUCAUUUUUUGGAGGAAUCUAAGAGGAUUCUCAUGUAUGGAAUCUGCGCUAAUCCUCCGAAUCUUAAUUAAUAAUACUGUCUAAAAAAACAA